GGUGGGGUUCCCGAGCGGCCAAAGGGAGCAGACUGUAAAUCUGCCGUCAUCGACUUCGAAGGUUCGAAUCCYYYCCCCACCA
rnacentral:tRNA from 1 species